GUGCCAGCCGCCGCGGUAAGACAGAGGGUGCUAGCGUUGUUCGGAAUUACUGGGCGUAAAGGGCGCGUAGGCGGCUUGGCAAGUCGAGUGUGAAAGCCCGGGGCUCAACCCCGGAACUGCAUUCGAGACUGUCCGGCUGGAGUCCGGAAGAGGAAGGUGGAAUACCCAGUGUAGAGGUGAAAUUCGUAGAUAUUGGGUGGAACACCAGUGGCGAAGGCGGCCUUCUGGUCCGGAACUGACGCUGAGGCGCGAAAGCGUGGGGAGCAAACAGGAUUAGAAACCCCCGUAGUCC
rnacentral:rRNA from 1 species